GCCUUGGUAGUGUAACGGUUAGCACACUCGGCACAUAUUUGAGAGGUCCAGGUUCAAAUCCUAGUGAGGGCA
rnacentral:tRNA from 1 species